rnacentral:lncRNA from 1 species
UUAACAGAAUGGUCAUUGAGGCAAUGCCAGCCCCAGCAUCAAAGAUGGAAGAGCGGUUGUCACUGUUAAAGUCGAGGACAGACCUGGUCCUCCCUGUAGCCCAGGAUGCCCUUGAGGGGGCCCUCCGAUGUCUGCUUCACCACCUUCUCGACGUCAUCGUAUUUG